CCUACGGGAGGCAGCAGUGAGGAAUAUUGGUCAAUGGGCGCGAGCCUGAACCAGCCAAGUAGCGUGAAGGAUGACUGCCCUACGGGUUGUAAACUUCUUUUAUAAAGGAAUAAAGUGAGGCACGUGUGCCUUUUUGUAUGUACUUUAUGAAUAAGGAUCGGCUAACUCCGUGCCAGCAGCCGCGGUAAUACGGAGGAUCCGAGCGUUAUCCGGAUUUAUUGGGUUUAAAGGGAGCGUAGAUGGGUUGUUAAGUCAGUUGUGAAAGUUUGCGGCUCAACCGUAAAAUUGCAAUUGAUACUGGCAGUCUUGAGUACAGUUGAGGUAGGCGGAAUUCGUGGUGUAGCGGUGAAAUGCUUAGAUAUCACGAAGAACUCCGAUUGCGAAGGCAGCUUACCGGCGCCCGACUGACGCUGAAGCACGAAAGCGUGGGUUUCGAACAGGAUUAGAUACCCCUGUAGUC
rnacentral:rRNA from 1 species